rnacentral:rRNA from 1 species
AGCAGUCAUAUGCUUGUCUCAAAGAUUAAGCCAUGCAUGUGUAAGUUCACACUGUUCCACGGUGAAACCGCGAAUGGCUCAUUAAAUCAGUGGAGGUUCGUUAAAUGACACGAUCCUACUUGGAUAACUGUGGCAAUUAUAGAGGUAAUACAUGCUUACCAAGCUCCGACCCUCGCGGAAAGAGCGCUUUUAUUAGUUCAAAACCAAUCGUCGCUGCCCUUCACGGGGCGCGGCGUUCCCAUUGGUGACUCUGGAUAACUUUGUGCUGAUCGCAUGGCCUUACGUGCCGGCCACGCAUCUUUCAAAUGUCUGCCCUAUCAAAUGUCGAUGGUACGUGACAUGCCUACCAUGUUUGUAACGGGUAACGGGGAAUCAGGGUUCGAUUCCGGAGAGGGAGCAUGAGAACCGGCUACCACAUCCAAGGAAGGCAGCAGGCGCGCAACUUACCCACUCCCGGCACGGGGAGGUAGUGACGAAAAAUAACAAUACGGGAAUCUAUCCAGGCCCCGUAAUUGGAAUGAGGACACUUUAAACCCUUUAACGAGGAUCUAUUGAAGGGCAAGUCUGGUGCCAGCAGCCGCGGUAAUUCCAGCUUCAAUAGCGUAUAUU